rnacentral:rRNA from 1 species
UACGUAGGCGGCAAGCGUUGUCCGGAAUCAUUGGGCGUAAAGCGCGUGUAGGCGGCCAGGUAAGUCCGUUCUGAAAGCCCCGGGGGCUCAACCCCGGGAGGCGGAUGGAUACUGCUUGGCUCGAGUCCGGAAGAGGCGAGUGGAAUCCCGGUGUAGCGGUGAAAUGCGCCAGAUAUCGGGAGGAACACCAAUGGCGGAGGCAGCUCGCUGGGACGGCUAC